rnacentral:rRNA from 1 species
AUUGAACGCUGGCGGCAGGCCUAACACAUGCAAGUCGCACGAGUGGCGGACGGGUGAGUAAUGUCUGGGAAACUGCCUGAUGGAGGGGGCUAACUCCUGGAAACGGUAGCUAAUACCGCAUACCAUCGGAUGUGCCCAGAUGGGAUUAGCUAGUCGGUGGGGUAACGGCUCACCUAGGCGAAGAUCCCUAGCUGGUCUGAGAGGAUGACCAGCGACACUGGAACUGAGACACGGUCCGGACUCCAACGGGAGGCAGCAGUGGGGAAUAUUGGACAAUGGGCGCAGGCCUGAGGCAGCCAUGCCGCGUGUAUGAAGAAGGCCUUCGGGUUGUAAAGUACUUUCAGCGGGGAGGCGUUACCCGCAGAAGAAGCACGGGCUAACUCCGGGCCAGCCGCCGCGGUAAUUC